rnacentral:rRNA from 1 species
AUGCUCUCAAGCGGUCAAGAGGUGCUAGAGGUACCGUGCAAGCAAGCAUGGCGACCGCGAUCAUGCUGCAGUGGCUGGGUAUAUCCCCUCCCGCUAGCUGAGGAUGGGCUCGAUGAUGGGGCUCCUACCCUUACACAGGUAUAUUCCCACAUUGAACUCGAUUAUUGCAAUGAUUGGGUUGAUUUGGACAUACUGUGCCUUGAAUGA